GUCCUUAUAUCGGCGGUUUUCUUGCAAAAUGUUUUUGGCAGCAGUUGUGACGACUUGCAUUUGCCGAAGCGGUGUUCCCUCUCCGUCAUUGCUAUUGUUUUCUUGGCGCUUGUCGAGACGACAACGCCCGGUCGGCUCAAGCUCUUCUGCUCC
rnacentral:lncRNA from 1 species